rnacentral:rRNA from 1 species
ACGGGAGGCAGCAGUGAGGAAUAUUGGUCAAUGGGCGGAAGCCUGAACCAGCCAAGUAGCGUGCAGGAUGACGGCCCUAUGGGUUGUAAACUGCUUUUAUAUGGGGAUAAAAAAGAGUACGUGUACUUUCUUGCAGGUACCAUAUGAAUAAGGACCGGCUAAUUCCGUGCCAGCAGCCGCGGUAAUACGGAAGGUCCAGGCGUUAUCCGGAUUUAUUGGGUUUAAAGGGAGCGUAGGCGGCUUGUUAAGCGUGUUGUGAAAUGUAGAUGCUCAACAUCUGAAUUGCAGCGCGAACUGGCUGGCUUGAGUGCGCAGAAAGUUGGCGGAAUUCGUCGUGUAGCGGUGAAAUGCUUAGAUAUGGCGAAGAACUCCGAUUGCGUAGGCAGCUGACCAGGCCGUAAAUGACGCUCAUGCACGAAAGUGCGGGGAUCGAACAGGAUUAGAUACCCUGGUA